AUAAUAAUUGUUCAUUUCAGACUACAAAAUCAUAAACUGAGACAGGUUGGCUCCUAGCAAGCACUCUGUUUUCUCCGAGAAGACGGAAGACCAACGUCCAUCUGCAGUUUGCUUCGACUGCCAAGCGCUGA